rnacentral:rRNA from 2 species
GCUUAACACAUGCAAGUCGAGGGGCAGCAUGGUCUUAGCUUGCUAAGGCCGAUGGCGACCGGCGCACGGGUGAGUAACACGUAUCCAACCUGCCGUCUACUCUUGGACAGCCUUCUGAAAGGAAGAUUAAUACAAGAUGGCAUCAUGAGUCCGCAUGUUCACAUGAUUAAAGGUAUUCCGGUAGACGAUGGGGAUGCGUUCCAUUAGAUAGUAGGCGGGGUAACGGCCCACCUAGUCUUCGAUGGAUAGGGGUUCUGAGAGGAAGGUCCCCCACAUUGGAACUGAGACACGGUCCAAACUCCUACGGGAGGCAGCAGUGAGGAAUAUUGGUCAAUGGGCGAGAGCCUGAACCAGCCAAGUAGCGUGAAGGAUGACUGCCCUAUGGGUUGUAAACUUCUUUUAUAAAGGAAUAAAGUCGGGUAUGGAUACCCGUUUGCAUGUACUUUAUGAAUAAGGAUCGGCUAACUCCGUGCCAGCAGCCGCGGUAAUACGGAGGAUCCGAGCGUUAUCCGGAUUUAUUGGGUUUAAAGGGAGCGUAGAUGGAUGUUUAAGUCAGUUGUGAAAGUUUGCGGCUCAACCGUAAAAUUGCAGUUGAUACUGGAUAUCUUGAGUGCAGUUGAGGCAGGCGGAAUUCGUGGUGUAGCGGUGAAAUGCUUAGAUAUCACGAAGAACUCCGAUUGCGAAGGCAGCCUGCUAAGCUGCAACUGACAUUGAGGCUCGAAAGUGUGGGUAUCAAACAGGAUUAGAUACCCUGGUAGUCCACACGGUAAACGAUGAAUACUCGCUGUUUGCGAUAUACUGCAAGCGGCCAAGCGAAAGCGUUAAGUAUUCCACCUGGGGAGUACGCCGGCAACGGUGAAACUCAAAGGAAUUGACGGGGGCCCGCACAAGCGGAGGAACAUGUGGUUUAAUUCGAUGAUACGCGAGGAACCUUACCCGGGCUUAAAUUGCAGAUGAAUUACGGUGAAAGCCGUAAGCCGCAAGGCAUCUGUGAAGGUGCUGCAUGGUUGUCGUCAGCUCGUGCCGUGAGGUGUCGGCUUAAGUGCCAUAACGAGCGCAACCCUUGUUGUCAGUUACUAACAGGUUCCGCUGAGGACUCUGACAAGACUGCCAUCGUAAGAUGUGAGGAAGGUGGGGAUGACGUCAAAUCAGCACGGCCCUUACGUCCGGGGCUACACACGUGUUACAAUGGGGGGUACAGAGGGCCGCUACCACGCGAGUGGAUGCCAAUCCCCAAAACCUCUCUCAGUUCGGACUGGAGUCUGCAACCCGACUCCACGAAGCUGGAUUCGCUAGUAAUCGCGCAUCAGCCACGGCGCGGUGAAUACGUUCCCGGGCCUUGUACACACCGCCCGUCAAGCCAUGGGAGCCGGGGGUACCUGAAGUGCGUAACCGCGAGGAGCGCCCUAGGGUAAAACUGGUGACUGGGGCUAAGUC